rnacentral:lncRNA from 1 species
UUAUGACCUGUAUCUUAUGCCAACCUCCUAUCUCAUCCUGUGACUUAGAAUGCCUUAACCGUCUGGGAACGCAGCACAUUAGGUGUCAGCCUCAUUUUACCCAGCUCCUAUUCAAGAUGGAGUUGCUGUGGUUCAAACACCUCUGACAUUAUCAUCCAUUUUACACAGGAGGAAAUCGAGACCCACAGCAGUCAAGCAACUUGUACAAACUCACACAAUUAUGACCAAGUCAGCUGAGAGAAACGGCUCCGGCCUUAAAGCUGAAGACAGAAGGAAGGAUGAACUGCAAAGCCAUAAGGUGACUGAUUAAAACCCUAAUUAUGUGUCAACCCAGGCCAAACCAAAGUAAAUAAUGAAACAUGUCUGUCUACUACGUGGCUUUGGAGCAAGUCGGUUAAUUUCCCUGAGCCUCAGUUUUCUCUUUUCAAACAAUAAAUGUAAUAAAGCCUGCA